rnacentral:tRNA from 1 species
UAGUUCAGUGGUAGAACCCUUGUCUAGCACACAGGAGACCUGGGUUUGAUUCCCAG